ACCCUUGUACUCGUAAUUCUUACCGGCGCAGGCGGGUACAAGCCAUGGCCAUUCACACGUUAAAGAUUUCUCAUCAAAUACCAAUCCAUAAGGACAGCGAAACUCGUAUGGCAUCAUAUCUCCUCCUCCUGACAGACAAGCAAAGAACCAUCUGCAAUUAUUAGGAUCAGCAUAAUAACCAUCUCCAGGACAUUGGAAUCUUCUUAGAGUGGUGGGUGCAAUUUCACUGCUUCCAGGGCAAGGUGAUCCUCUUGGCAUUGAUCCAGGCCAAACGCAUACCUCAGUCUGUUCGUCAAAUGACAAACCCUCCGGGCAAUCGAACUCAAAUACACUGUAGUCUUCGAUUUGCUGAUUAAAUUUCACGCAACGAUAGAACCUUGUGAAGCAAUAUUAAAUUAUAGCAAGGGCUAUACAAUACCCAUACAAUUAAUUUCAAGGCACUUAUCACUCUAAUCAGGAAUGUGUUACAAAUAUAAUUGUACCUGUUGCAGCUCUUGGGAUGUACAAAAUGACCCUGUUUCAAACACGUAAACUCUGUUUGUGUAUUCUCUCUGAUAGCACGAACAUUGCCUGAGCCAUCAACGAUCUGAAUUAUUCGGAAGUCGGAGGGCUUUACACUCAGUGGAUAUGGAUUGUCUGUAGUCUUGAAAAGAUAAUAUAGAAAAAAUAAAAAUUUAGUGAAUUUCAUUGAAACAAAACUCGCCUACAACGUAGUCAUUGUCAAAAUGUGGCUUCCACUGUUUCCAGAAUAGUCAAAUACAUAUAUCUACUAUUGGAAUAAGUAGUGAAUUCAAUAUACCGAGUGUGUGCUUCACGCGUCCUAUUUGACUUUUCCACCUCGAAUACAUUGACCAAUGAGGAUAAAGUCUUACACACGAAGUUAGCAUAUGUCUUACGUGGCUAACUUAAUUUAUGUGCUUGUGCUUUCUUGAAUAUGAUGAUGAUGAUAUAUAUAAAUAAUGGAGAUAGAGAUAAUAAUAGAAUAAGAUAUCUAAUGUCGUAAACAUUGUCAUCCUCUAAAAUCACUUAAUUAAAAGUGCCUCUAGUUAGCUGAUAACAAUUAUUUUUUAAUCCCAGGCGAGCGGAGGCAUUUAAUGUUGGUUUGCCGAGGAUUUCCUUAUGUGGAUGGCAAUUUGAUCGUCAGUACGACAAAGUAUUUAUGAUUAGAAGGGAAAGUAUUUUAUUCGCCCGCAGGAUAUAAGGUCGUUCACAUUUACUUAGCUAAUUAUAUAAAAUAAAAACGUGAAGAUGAUAAUAAGAAUAAGACAGAAAGUAUUUGCACUUCUUAUAAAUACUUCAAAUUCUUAAAAAUACAAUACUUAUUCCCACAUAGCACGAAAAACCUUUGAUUUCCUCAACUAAAUAGUUCUACAAAUCUCAAUUGAUGAGGUUUAUACAAAAAAGUAGCAUAACUCUUGCUAUUUUUGGUUGCAAGGAAAAACCAGGAAAAUUGAUCUCUACACGCUCUUUAUUUCAAGCGUGGCGAACUAAAAAAAUCAUCAUUAUAUACGAACUAGGCGUUAAUAACUAGAAAAUAGUCAAGCUUCAUACCUUUUACUUUCAAAAUUAAUACCACGGCAGGCUGUUUAAUUCAAAAAGUGUGAAUGAUUUUGUCAUGCAAACGAAAGAAGAGAAAAUUACUCUGUAUUUAUUAUGCAAUUAUUAAUGAACCGAAUUUAAGAGUGAACCAUAAUUGAACCGGUAUUGAUGUUCAUUUCCCAUGGCGUUUCUCCAUCGAGGGUUUUGCAUUAAUUUUAAUAUAAUUAAAUAGUACUGAUUGGAAACAAUUUUUUAAAACAUUUUUCAUAGUUUAUUUACCGGAAGUGUUCAGGUACUGAAGGUCAUGACCUUGAUGUACAACUGUCGUACAUCUGCAGAUCGAAUUCCCCAGCAGUCUCAAAUCAUUGGAUGUUGUGUAACAGAGAAUUUCUCGUUGAGGAUGAGUUUGGUGUCUUGAACAUGCUGGUAAAAAAUGAAAAUAAUUUUUUCAACAAUUUUAUACCCAUUAGAAUGGGUUGCAAUCUGUAGAUAGUUUAUUAUAGUAUAUAGUUUUUCAAAAAUCGCAUUGAAUUAGAAUUUUAGUUUGCGUACAUUUUUCUGUUGAGGAAAAUGAACUUAGAAAAAAAAUUUUGCAUUGUGAAACAAAACAAUAGCAGAAAUAGUGAAUUUUAAUUUACUAAUACUUUUCAAAUAAGAAAUUUGAAUAGAAUUCACAAUAUUUUUAUUCCGUUUUAGAUUGAAAUUUUAUUUAUUUGUCUUGAUAUACCGAAGAGAUGCGAUACAUAAACGUUUUUUUAAUUCUUCACUAAUAUUUCCAUUGGAAUAACAUGAAAAAAUCUUUCUUAUGGUUCAUUUAUGCAUCUAAAGUUGACAUCAUCGCUGGUUAUGGCUAUAAUAUAGUUAUUUGCAUAGUCGCUGAAGAUGUUCACAUUAGCGUUGUUGAUAUCUAACAAUGUACGAUCCUACAAAAUAUUACCUUCAAUUAUAUUCAAAAAGGCAAAAAUUUUUACUCUUUUUUUAAAAUCUACCCUAUUAAAAUCUGUGAUCAACUUAGAUAAAACUUUAAAAUUCAAUUUUCCAAUAAAUCUUUUUCGAACUCACUGGCAGU